UUUCCUUAUUUUUUCAAAACCGUGUACUAUAGUUUCUUACCUUAAAUAGACUCUGUAUGAACCUACCCUUUAUUAUGCUACUCUGAAAGGUUUUUCUUCCAUUGAUUACCACUCCCGUUUGAAAUCAAAUCCCUUUGACUAAGGGAGAUUUUAUUUGAUUGACUGAGAUUUUAUUUCCUUGACUUCUUGUCUACUCAUUUUUGCACUAUAAAAGCUCACGAAUCCCUUUGCAUAAGGGAGAUUUUAUUUGAUAGACUGAGAUUUAUUUCCUUGCCUUCUUGUCUACUUAUUUUUGUACUAUAAAAGCUCACAACUCUCACAAGUUCUGACACAGUUUCUUUUACACAAACACUCGAGCACGACACAGUUCUCAGAACUCUUAUCUGCACCUUUGCAAUACAUAAUCAUAUCUGUAUUUACUGGCUACUAAUCUCUUUACUACUACUCUCUCUAUUACUACUGUAUUUCUAUUGAGCACUCUGCUCCCUUACCUCCUACUUUUUGAAUAUUUCUGGAGCUCCUCUGAAUUCCCAAGUGUUUGCUGAAGUUCGAGUUGCUCUUAUUGAUUUUUUCAGGUUGUAUAUUUCCUGUUAUUUCUCUGUUGUACUAGAACUGAAAACUUGUAUGUACUUCUAAGUUAAGUAACACUCUCCUACUAUGUGUAUUCACUUCUCUUCUUCUACCCAUUCUUCACUGUGUGUUUAUGUUCUGUAGCAUGUUCUUCUAUGUCCUUGAAUCUGCAAUCUGCUAUGCUUUAUUACAUUUUUGAUAUCAGUAUAUGCUUCAGUAUGGAAAUGCCUUCCCUUUUCUGUG
rnacentral:lncRNA from 1 species